UACGUAGGGUGCAAGCGUUAAUCGGAAUUACUGGGCGUAAAGCGUGCGCAGGCGGUUUUGUAAGUCUGUCGUGAAAUCCCCGGGCUUAACCUGGGAACUGCGCUUGUUACUGGCAGACUUGAGUGUGGCAGAGGGGGGUGGAAUUCCAGGUGUAGCAGUGAAAUGCGUAGAUAUCUGGAGGAACACCGAUGGCGAAGGCAGCCCCCUGGGCUAACACUGACGCUGAUGCACGAAAGCGUGGGGAGCAAACAGG
rnacentral:rRNA from 1 species